rnacentral:rRNA from 1 species
ACGCUAGCGGCAGGCUUAACACAUGCAAGUAGAACGGUAACAGUCCUUCGGGAGCUGACGAGUUGCGAACGGGUGCGUAACGCGUAUGCAACCUACCUAUAACUGAGGGAUAGCCCAUAGAAAUGUGGAUUAAUACCUCAUAACAACUAAAGAUGGCAUCAUCUUAAGUUUAAAACUCCGGUGGUUAUAGAUGGGCAUGCGUGACAUUAGCUAGUUGGUGAGGUAACUGCUCACCAAGGCAACGAUGUCUAGGGGUUCUGAGAGGAUGAUCCCCCACACUGGUACUGAGACACGGACCAGACUCCUACGGGAGGCAGCAGUGAGGAAUAUUACGCAAUGGAGGAAACUCUGACGCAGCCAUGCCGCGUGCAGGAUGACUGCCCUAUGGGUUGUAAACUGCUUUUAUAUAGGAAGAACUACAGAUACGUGUAUUUGUUUGACGGUACUGUAAGAAUAAGGAUCGG